rnacentral:rRNA from 1 species
GACGAACGCUGGCGGCGUGCUUAACACAUGCAAGUCGAACGGAAAGGCCCUGCUUGCAGGGUACUCGAGUGGCGAACGGGUGAGUAACACGUGGGUGAUCUGCCCUGCACUUCGGGAUAAGCCUGGGAAACUGGGUCUAAUACCGGAUAGGAGCCAUUUUUAGUGUGAUGGUUGGAAAGUUUUUUCGGUGUAGGAUGAGCUCGCGGCCUAUCAGCUUGUUGGUGGGGUAAUGGCCUACCAAGGCGGCGACGGGUAGCCGGCCUGGGAGGGUGGACGGCCACAUUGGGACUGGGAUACGGCCCAGACUCCUACGGGAGGCAGCAGUGGGGAAUAUUGCACAAUGGGCGCAAGCCUGAUGCAGCGACGCCGCGGGGGGGAUGACGGCCUUCGGGUUGUAAACUCCUUUCGCUAGGGACGAAGCUUUUUGUGACGGUACCUAGAUAAGAAGCACCGGCUAACUACGUG